CGUAAUGAGCCUUAAACCAUUUUAAUGUGGCUUUACAAUCUGUUUAGCUUUUUUUUACUUAGUUAAACUUAGUUUACUUAGUUAAAAAACGUAAUAGUUUUUGAUUUUGCACCCAAAGUUCUCGAGGUAAGCGCCUGCGCAAAGAAACUCCUCCCCAAGAGCCGUUGGAAAAGUUGAAACGUGACAGAAAAAAAGGUUAGGCUGUGACUAGUUUUAUUCUUCUCAAAUCUCCACGAUUACCUACUUGGACGCACUGGAAGAGGCUGCUUUCAUCUCGCAAAAGGGCUGAAAGCGUGGCAACAUUGGCACCACCGUCUCUUCUACCCCAGAGGGUUUCCCCCUAAAGACCGUUAGGAAUGUGGAAGUCAUGGAAGGAAAACUGGCAAAUCCAAACUUCAUGUCCAAACUGGUUGCAGCUGUGACUGACAUAGGGGGGACAACUGUUGACGAGGCCACAAGAAGGAUGAUGACCUUCCUCCUAGACCAUGGCCUAUCCAGGCAGUACAACUUUGUGGGCCAAAACGGGAAGAGUUCAAGGCCUUACAACUGUAUGAAGAGGUUUAAAGAAAAACGGCAUGACCAGUCAAAUCACCCGUAAAGAUGCCGAGAACGAGAAGGCGGUCUCCAAGUGGCUCAUUGGUGCUAGGGACC